rnacentral:rRNA from 1 species
UAUUGGAGAGUUUGAUCCUGGCUCAGGACGAACGCUGGCGGCGUGCUUAACACAUGCAAGUCGAGGGCACUUAUGCAGCAAUGUGUGAGUGACCGGCGAACGGGUGCGUAACACGUG